CGGGGGGAGCAAGCGUUGUUCGGAUUUACUGGGCGUAAAGGGCGCGUAGGCGGCCACCGCAAGUCGACUGUGAAAUCUCCGGGCUUAACCCGGAAAGGUCAGCCGAUACUGCGGGGCUAGAGUGCAGAAGGGGCAACUGGAAUUCUCGGUGUAGCGGUGAAAUGCGUAGAUAUCUGGAGGAACACCGGUGGCGAAGGCGGCAUCCUGGACCAACACUGACACUGAGGAGCGAAAGCCAGGGGAGCAAACGGGAUUAGAUACCCCGGUAGUCCUGGCCCUAAACGAUGAAUGCUUGGUGUGGCGGGUAUCGAUCCCUGCCGUGCCGAAGCUAACGCAUUAAGCAUUCCGCCUGGGGAGUACGGUCGCAAGGCUG
rnacentral:rRNA from 1 species